AGAGGUCUUGGGUUCCUGAGAUAGACGUGCAUGCUCCUCGUCUUCUUCGGGUCUUCCACGUUCGUUUUCCUUCUAAGCCCGGUCCCAUCCGCCCGGUGGGCGUUUCUAGAAGGGGGGGUACUGUUGGUGCUGAAUCCAGGGAAGACAUCCUCUCUGUUUAGGGGCUCCCUGCCCCUAGCAUUUCGGCAUAUUCCGGCCGUUUUCGCGCCAGCCGCGCUAGCUCCUCCCCCUUUUAUGGCGCGACGGCUAGCGUCGACGUCAUGACGUCGGCAUUUACAUGAAGUGCCGGGAACCGCUAUUCCGGAC